UCCAAUCUUCGUUUCAGCAAUCGCUCCAACAUUUAAUUCAAGAAGCACUUCGUAUAAGGUGCUCAUCUCCUCUCUCAAGCCAAAUCCGUCGCCGCAGCAAAACACCCAGCAUCAACAUCAACUUCGUCUCUGUCGUCUUAUUCCCUCGCUAAAUUAGAGGAAGAGUAAUCCGAUUUAGCGAUAUCGACUUAUUUUGAUGUCUUUGUUGUAUGCAAUUGAAUUACAGAAAAAAUUGGGACAAUUUUUUAUUUGAAAAAGCUGGGGAAAAAAAAGGAGCAAAAGAUGGUUGAUUUGAAAAUUA
rnacentral:lncRNA from 1 species